CUUUAAUUGUAAUUGGUACAUGUGAAAUGGAAGGUAGUCACAGGAAGUGAUGCAAAAAUAAGUUUCUUAAAAAAGGAGUUACAACUUCCUGUGGGGAGUUCUUCUUGAGUUUGGAUUUUGAUUUGGAGGCUGGUGAAGAAUCUGCUUACUGGACCUGAGACUUUGGAAUUGUCUCCGUCUGAUAUUCAUAUGAAGAGAAGAGGACUCCUUCAUCCCAAAUAAUGCAGGUCAUUUGGUAACAAGAGUGGGAAUAUGGUGCUGUUACACUAUUUCUCCUUCAUUGCUCUAAUAAGGGACUUUGGACUAAAGCAUCUCUGCAAACCCUGACAGUUUUAAACAGACUCUGAAUUUUAUUUACAUGUACAUUGGCAAUACUUCCCUAAUAAUUACAUAAUGCUACCACCUCCAUUGUUGGACUGUACACAUUACAAUAUGCCACUGUUACACAAUAAAUCUGAUACCUUAUGAUAAGAAAUUAUGAAA
rnacentral:lncRNA from 1 species